rnacentral:rRNA from 1 species
AGGACGAACGCUGGCGGCGUGCCUAACGCAUGCAAGUCGAGCGGAGAUGAUGUGAGGAAGUUUCGGAUGGAAUCACAUUAUUUAGCGGCGGACGGGUGAGUAACGCGUGAGCGACCAACCUUGCACAGGGGGAUAACGGACCAAAAGGUUCACUAAUACCGCAUGAGACCACGGUGUUGCAUGACACAGGGGUCAAAGGAGCAAUCCGGUGCAAGACGGGCUCGCGUCCGAUUAGGUAGUUGGUGGGGUAAUGGCCCACCAAGCCUAUGAUCGGUAGCCGACCUGAGAGGGUGAUCGGCCACAUUAGAACUGAGAUACGGUCCAAACUCCUACGGGAGGCAGCAGUGGGGAAUAUUGGGCAAUGGGGGGAAACCCUGACCCAGCAACGCCGCGUGAAGGAAGAAGGUUUUCGGAUUGUAAACUUCUGUCCUUGGUGAAGAGAAGAAGACGGUAGCCAAGGAGGAAGCCCCGGCUAACUACGUGCCAGCCGCCGC